rnacentral:misc_RNA from 1 species
CUGGUGAUUCAGAUGCAGCAGUAGAACUCAGAGAAGAAAAAUAUGAAAUCCACAUUGAACGCUCCCAAACUGGAUUAGGGCUAUCGAUAGCAGGCGGGCACGGCUCAACUCCUUUCAAGGGCGAUGACGAAGGCAUCUUCAUUUCCAGAGUAACCGAAGGUGGUCCGGCCGAUCUAGCAGGAUUAAGAGUAGGAGAUAAAGUCAUAACCGUCAAUAGAGUCAACGUCGUUGACGUCAGUCACUACGAUGCAGUAGAAGUCUUGAAAGCAUCAGGUCCUGUGUUGAUUCUAGAAGUAACCCGAGAAGUUACCAGGUUGGUUAAGCCUCCGAACACGAUGGUAGCAACUAAGCACAGUCCAACACCUUCUCUUACGAAUACGUUGAACAAAAGCGCAAUACCCCCUCCAUUGCCUCCUCAAUUGGAAGAAGAGGUGCCCUUACAAAAAGUAUUAGUCCAUACAACAUUAAUUAGAGACUCAAAAGGUCUCGGUUUUAGUAUAGCAGGAGGCAAAGGCUCCCAACCCUUUAAGGCUGACAAUGACGCCAUCUACAUAUCACGCAUUACCGACGGAGGAGUCGCCGAUAGAGACGCGAAGCUCUCUGUAGGCGAUAAAGUAAUAUCAAUAAACGGCGUCGACUUAACGGGGGCCUCCCACGAUCAAACCGUAAGCAUGCUUACGGGAUUGGAAAGAUUCGUGAGACUGGUGGUUGAGAGGGAAGUGCCUCUGGAGAAAAACGGCGACGAGGCUAGUCCGGGACCUCAGCAAAGUCCGAGGUUGUUUGGUUUGCCCAAGCCGUAUACGGGACUGUAUGCUGCUAAUAGUUACAUGGCUAACCGACCUGGUUACGCGGGGUAUCGAAGAUCGAUGGAACUUGAUAAAAAGACUUCUGAAUCUCCAGAGCCAGUAAAGCCUCCAACGCCCACCCAGGUGUUACAAGAAACGCCCAAAACAAACGGAAUAGACCACAGCUCGACGAGAGAAGUACCCAAGCCAGCGCCGCGUCGUAUCAACUCUACUUCCAGCGAUUCGUCCACGGCACCAAUCAAUCCUACAGCUCAAACCGCUUCCAGCGCCAAGCCACAAACCAACCACAAGAAAACCUCUUCGAAUUCCUCCCUCGAGGAUGACACCCAGGUAUUUGCGAGGCCCAUCACAAGCGAAGAGUUCCAGGCGAUGAUACCGCCCCAUUUCCUUAAACAGCCCCCUCCCGCCAAAACCUCCCCCACCCCCACCGCGACUACUCCUACCGGGUAUGAUAGUCACGCGAAUUCCGUCACGACGGUCACGAUAAAACGACCGGAACCGCCUAUCGAGCUGCCCCCCUCGCCGAAGGGGCCGGGGCGAGUCACCGAGACCAUUACCAAGAGUACCUUUACCGAAACUGUGGUCACUAGGAUAACGGACAAUAAGUUGGUAGAGCCACUGAUUAUAGAGGACGUUACGUUAAGUAAAUUAGGAGGAUCCUUAGGUUUCAGUAUUAUAGGAGGUACAGAUCAUUCCAGUAUUCCAUUCGGAUCCAAGGAACCGGGAAUUUUCAUCUCACAUUUGGUUCCUGGUGGUAUAGCUGCUAAAAGUGGUAAACUCAAAGUUGGUGACAGAAUUUUAAAAGUCAAUGGCACAGACGUCACUCAUGCUACCCAUCAAGAAGCUGUUAUGGAGCUUCUAAGACCUGGAGAUCAAAUUUCGCUUACAAUUAGGCACGAUCCAUUGCCCGAAGGAUAUCAGGAAUUGUUUAUUGAAAAAACAGAUAACGAAAAACUUGGCAUGCACAUAAAGGGCGGUCUUCAGGGUCAGCGAGGUAAUCCUCUGGACAGAUCGGACGAAGGUAUUUUCGUAUCGAAAAUCAACUCUGUGGGGGCAGCAAGGCGAGAUGGAAGACUCAAAGCUGGCAUGAGAUUAUUAGAAGUUAAUGGAAAAUCAUUAUUAGGUGCAACUCAUCAGGAAGCUGUUAAUGCUUUAAGAGCUUGCGGAAACAUGAUUCACAUGGUAGUUUGCAAAGGAUAUGAUAAAGGUGAUAUAGACAGAGCAGUCCAUGAGGGCAGAUUGACAAGAGGAGGGUCCGUUAGCAGUCGUUCGCAGAGCGUUAGCUCUUUAGACGUACCAGAAGACGACCUACAGGACUUGAAAGUAAAAUCUGAAUUGCUUCAGUUGGAAAAGGAUGAAGUUGAGAAGCGAUUACAGCCGAUCCAUCAAGAAGAAGAGGAAUUUUCUUUAGUAGAAGCAAAACCACCUUCUCCUGCGGAUAAGGUUUUAGACGUGGUAAGAGCAGUAGAGACUCUAGCACACGGUCCGAUGGAAAAUUCAGUUCCUCCAAAGUCUCCAAAUUCGGAACUAAAAACUACUACGAUAGUUAUGAGCAAACAUACGCUAGCACCUCAACCUACCACUGACGAGCUAAUGCAUGUCUCUACGCUACCGAAAACGACACAGCCUAAAGUGGAUGUGGAAACAGAAAGCAAAAGUCACUCUAUUGACAAUGAACAGCAUGCUUCCGUCACUAAAGAUACUGAUAACGAUUCUUUACAAAACGUGAUCCCACCUCCUUCCAUCUAUUCUGAAUGUGAACCUAACAAUAAUGUAUCUAAUAUGUACUUUAACAAUCAACAUGUACCUACCAAUGUAACAUACUCGAUACCUCAACCGGUAGUUACUAGUGACUUUAAUUCCAACACGUUUUCGUUCAACGUUCCACCUAAUGAGAAUCAGUUCCAUAUUAACGUCUACAACACUAUACCUCAGCUACAACCACAAGCAUUUAGAUAUGAUUAUGUUCCUAAUUUUACUGAUAUACCAAUCGUUCCUUCUCCUGAUUCUAGUCUUACAUAUAUGCUUGAAGAUUCUCAAAUUAUCAAAGUUCCACCGCCCCCUCCUAUGGACUUCGACGAUUAUUCCAUAAAAUCGGAUUCACCUCCUCCUUUACCAUCCACUUCCCCUCCACCCCUGCCAAAAUCUCCACUACCUACAGAAGACGACGACAUUGUAUCCACAACCGAAAAAGUUCUGGAAACUUCAGUGCAAGUCUCAACAACUACAACCAUAAAUCCAACUAAUAAACAUCAUGUAACUAUUACAGAAGAAGAAGAAGUUACAGAGUAUACAAAACCACCUAUAGGAGCGCUGAAGAAAAUUGUAGCCAGCUUAAGCGACGACAUCGUAGCUCAUACCACUGUUCCAGGAGAUGUAGAGGUUUGUGUUACCGCUCCAACAGUAGUGCAAACACAAGUCAGUAGAACAGUUGAUUUGUCUUCUCCAACAAUAGAAAAUACUGAUAAACAAAUCAGUCAACUUUGUACAAAUAUAGACGAUGCUUUGCAGGCAGCUACUAAUAUAGAUCGAACAAUAGAACAAACUAACAGAAUGUUUGUAACUAGUUUGACCGAAACAGAUCGGAUUAUUUCUUCUAAAAAACAUGUAUCAUAUCUAACUGAUGACUCAGACAACAUCGAAGUAUCUAUCAUCCCUUCAGACCAAGGAAUGUUAAGGAAACCAAAAGAUGAUCAAUUAAAACCAAACAACGAAUCAGAAUCGAUCAAUAGGAAAUUUGUAAGAAGUUGGGUAGAAACGGAAGAAAGGACGUCUUCACUUCCAGCAAGAAAACUUGUCACUAGCUUGAUAAUCGAUACACCCUCAAACGAAAAGCAACAAGUGCAAUAUUCCCAAAUCAUAGCACCUACACCAUUCAAAAUAACAAAACAAAUUUCCCAAACAUCUGAACCUCGUUCACCUACCACUCCAACCAGACGAAUUGCUCGACCUCAAGUCCCUCCCCCACCAGUACCCAUCGCUAAACUAGCUUCACCUCCCCAAAUUCAAGCCAAGAAAAUUCCACCCCCAGUACCUGCCAAGAUUUCUAAAUUGAACCCUGCUCGCAGUGAAAAUGAUUUAUUAGACCCUGUUGGUUCUGUCAAAAAAAGCAACCAGUCCGCUAGACCUGUUUCUUUUGUAUUUUCUGAUAAAAAGGAUUUGGGAUUCGUUAGCGGAAAUUUAGGGAAGUAUGGUACUGUGGCAAAGCCUCCACAAUCCCCCCAACACAAUGCUCCCAAGCAGUCGGUGAGCGAUAGAAAGAAAUUUUUCGAAUCGGCGAUGGAAGAGAGCCAAAAACCUUCUAAACCAGAAAAAGUCUUUAGCUAUCUUAGUGCGGACGAAUUAGAGAAGUUAAAAGCAGAAGAAGAGAGAAAAAUUGCAACACUUUCAGCUUCCGAUAUUAAUUCCUUACAUUCUUUACACGAAUUGGAUCAUUCUGAUGGAGAAUCAGCUGAAUCACAACGUUCAAGGCCUUCGAGUACUAUCGGUAUAGUACGUACAGCAAAGGCAGAACGACGUCUGAGAGAUCAACUUCGAGAAGAAGGACUUUUGACCGACGAAGACGAUCCUCCCCUCUCACCAGCCGAAGAACGCGCCCUCCGAGCCGAAAAGAGAGCUGCCUGGAGAGCUGCCAGACUCAAGUCCCUCGAACACGAUGCCAUGCAAGCGCAGAUGGUCAUCAAGAGUAUGACGGACAUUGUUAGAUCCGGGGAAGUACCCAUGCCUAUAACGACAGAAAUUAGUGAUACAGACGGGCUUCCACAAACAAAUGAGUUACGUCCCUCGAGCGCCGAUUUCCCCAAGCUGGCCGUAAGGACGAAACCCGGCAACACGACCGUUAGAGAGAGCGAGAAGGUGUUGGGAGAAACGAUAACGAGAAAGACGGAAGAAUACAUCGACGAAAACGGCGAGAAACGAGUGAGAACUGUGGAGUACGUAGAGAAGCUGAUUGAGAGAGAGGUAUAAGAAAGCAAAAAUUGAUGGCUUAUGAAAUCAGCAUGACUCUCUUUUGUGCACCAUUCUGGUGGAACAAAUCCAAGAAAAAAUCAUAUCACUAGAAUUAACGAAAUACGACGACGUUCUGAAGCCGCAGUCCCUUAAACUAGACCAGGACGAAAACGAUAUCGAAGAGGAAGAAUCAGUAUCCGAAGUAUCUGAACCUCCCACUCCUACGACGGAUCAGGAGAAAACCCUCGAAUCCGCCGAUGGAGCCACGAACAAAAGACGAAGACGGAAAAGAUCCAAAAA